rnacentral:rRNA from 1 species
AACGAACGCUGGCGGCAUGCCUAACACAUGCAAGUCGAACGAAGGCUUCGGCCUUAGUGGCGCACGGGUGCGUAACGCGUGGGAACCUGCCCCUCGGUUCGGAAUAACAGUUAGAAAUGACUGCUAAUACCGGAUGAUGACUUCGGUCCAAAGAUUUAUCGCCGAGGGAUGGGCCCGCGUAGGAUUAGCUAGUUGGUGGGGUAAAGGCCUACCAAGGCGACGAUUCUUAGCUGGUCUGAGAGGAUGAUCAGCCACACUGGGACUGAGACACGGCCCAGACUCCUACGGGAGGCAGCAGUGGGGAAUAUUGGACAAUGGGCGAAAGCCUGAUCCAGCAAUGCGCGUGAGUGAUGAAGGCCUUAGGGUUGUAAAGCUCUUUUACCAGGGAUGAUAAUGACAGUACCUGGAGAAUAAGCUCCGGCUAACUCCGUG